GCAAGUCGAACGAUAAAGCCUUUCGGGGUGAUUAAAGUGGCGCACGGGUGAGUAACGCGUAGACAACCUACCCUUUAGCUCGGAAUAACUAUUCGAAAGAGUAGCUAAAACCGAAUAAUACUAAUGUUCUAGUGAAUGUUAGUUGAAAGUUUACACUAGAGGAUGGGUCUGCGUAACAUUAGCUAGUUGGUGGGGUAACGGCCUACCAAGGCGACGAUGUUUAGCGGGUCUGAGAGGAUGAUC
rnacentral:rRNA from 1 species